GAACAACUUUUAAAAUGGCAUAUAAUAUGUAAAUCUCCUUUACAGUUUUUGCGCAACUUUAUUAUUUCUUGAGAUAUUUUGACAGAAAAAAUCACAAACCAGCGAGCAUUUCGCCAUCUUGAUUUUGGAGGAUAUGCAUGUUACGUCAUAAGCAGGGUCAUGAGCCCAAAAUCAUACUCCGGUAACUAAUUCAAAUAAGAAAGUGACUGACAACUUUUCAAACAAGAUUUACUGUUAUUUGGUCAUUUAGAUGUAGUUUUAUAUGACUAACCCUGCUUUUGACGUCAUUAGUGGCGUCAUAAGUGACUGAUAAAUGUGAUUCGCAUCUUGCUUAGUUUUUGAAUUUACUUGCUUAUUUUUAUCUCAUUAUCGGUGAUUUUAGAAUCACGAACCGAUGAGAUAAGGCUAUAAAAUCGGCUUGAAUUGAUCAAUUUCAAUUCUGUUUGUGGUGAACAGGUCAAGAAGAAAAGCACUUUUAAUUAACUAUGGGUCGAAAAUUUCGCUGCAGUAGCACUUUAAACAGCCGGACCAUGCAAUAAGCAUGAAUAUCCAUCAGAGCAAAUAUUAUGAAACAAAAGAUUUUCCACAGAAAUAAAUGAACACUUAUCGACUGGGACCCAUGUCCCUAUCUUCACCUUAUUACUACUCUAGAUCAAUAUUAGUCGUUAAAAUACAAAAGUCAUAUAAAGCUGAAACCUAUUUAAUCUCCAUCAUGUCAUGAGAGACCAUGUGUUCUUCAAGUUCUCUGGGAACGUCAAACACAGCAUCACAGGCACAACAAGCAUAUCCAAUACCAGUUGGUUCUGUUGAUUCAAGUUCUUGACAAAAACCGCAUUGAUAGUUUCCAUCACUUUUAUGUUCCCUUGCUAUAUGUCGUACCCAUUUCAUGAAACUAUGAGGCAACUCUUUGCUACAUUUACUGCAAACAUACUUUCCACUGCCUGUAUCCUUAACAAAAUGUUCUUGCAAUUCUUGGGGUUGAAUAAUCUCUCUGUGGCAAGUGUCACACAACAAAUGUUGCUGUUCAUGGGAAUUAAGAUGAUGCUUGCGUGAAAAUCUUUUUUUGCAGACAUCACACUCAUAAGGUUUGUCCCCAGUGUGUAAUCUUUUAUGUGUUCCAAGAUGGCUAGAUUGUGAAAAUCUUUUGUUACAGAUAUUACAUUCAUAAGGUGUUUCUCCUGUGUGUGUCCGCCUGUGUAUCACCAAAGUAUUUGAAUGUCUAAACCUCUUGAAACAAACAUCACAUUCAUAAUGUUUAGCCUCUGUAUGUGUCCUUGUGUGGACUGCUAAAUUUCCUGAUUCUGAAAAUCUUUUCUUACAAAAGCCACAUUUGUAAGGUUUGUUCCCAGUGUGUUUUAUUUUAUGUGUUGUUAGGUGGUUUGACUGAGAAAAUCUCUUCUUGCAAACAUCACACUCGUAAGGUUUGUCUCCAGUGUGUGUUCUUUCAUGUGAAGUUAGAUGGCCAGAUUGUUUAAACCUUUUCUUACAAAUAUCACAUUCAUAAGGUCUGUCUCCGGUGUGUGUCCGUCUGUGGUUCACCAAACUACUUGAAUGUGCAAAUCGUUUCUUACAAAAAUCACAUUCAAAAGGUUGGUCUCCAGUGUGUGUUUUCUUAUGUAUCUCCAGAUGGCGAGAUUGUGUAAAUCGUUUCUUGCAAACAUCACAUUCAUAAGGUCUGUCUUCAGCGUGUAUCAUUUUAUGUUUUGCUAGAUGAUUAGAAU